rfam:Oryza meridionalis cultivar OR44 (W2112) chromosome 4, whole genome shotgun sequence.
AAAAACCGUAAUUUUGCAUUGUUUAUGUCCAAUAUUUGACCGUCCGUCUUAUUUAAAAAAAAUUACGAUUAGUAUUUUGGUUGUUAUUAGAUGAUACAAUAUUAAUGGUACUUUAUGUGUGACUUUUUUUUCAUUUUGUAUAAAAUUUUCAAAUAAUACCGACGGUCUGACAUGAAAACUCAGAACUAUCAUUAAA